GUAUUGGAAAUGCUCCACGUGGAAGAACACCAAUACAUCCACCACCUAUUCCUGCUUCUCCCAAUCUUGCUCAUGGUGUUUCUCGAAUUACAAUUAAACAUAUACCUAUUCCUCGACCUCGACCUCGACCUCGUUUGCACCUAAAAUGCAAUCAACUUCCAACCAAAUUUCGUCGUUAUUGCUCCCCACCUAGUAAUUAAGCAUUUAAUACUUAAUUAAUUAAUAAAUUGAGGUCGAGGUCGUCUAAGAAUUGAAGAAGCAAUAUUUAUUAACUAGUAGUGUUUCGUUUUAAUUUGUGUGCCUUAUACCCAAAUGCAUAUGUGUUUGUUUUACUAGCCAGUACGUAGAACAAUCGACCUCAAUAAUGUACGUUUCAGUUUGUUGUAAUACUUGCUUGCUUAUUAUCAAAUAAAACCAUAUAUUAUUGGCCUUCAA
rnacentral:lncRNA from 1 species